UUAUGUAGUGUUCUUGGUCUUGAUGAUAAUAGUGUGUGCAAUGUUCCAGGGAUCUGAAUCUUUCGGUUAUUAUCGCCAUAUUCACCGACGAAGAAGAACAACGACAUCGUUGUUGCCAACAACGAUACCAGAGUUUAUCGAUGCCACUACAAUGCAAUAAUCAAGGAUAAAUUGAACCUUAUGCCUAUUUAGUCAUGGAAUAGAAAAGUUCUUACAGAACUGUUGUCUAGUUUUUUAGUCAGUUGUUAAUCG